GGGGAUUUGGCUCAGUGGCAGAGCACUUGCCUAGGAAGCGCAAGGCCCUGGGUUCAGUCCCCA
rfam:Rattus norvegicus chromosome 2, whole genome shotgun sequence.